GACGCGGAACAGGAGGAGAUCGUGUGUGCGUCGAUCGAGGGGCUUUAAUUUGCGCGGUUAGUUCUUUCUUGCAAGUAAAUAAACGCAUGCAGUGAAAAUGUGGAGGAGCGCGCGUACACGUAGAAGGAAGUGUGAGGGCGACGUGUAUCUACCGAGUUCUAUCUCUUGCCAGCGGCUCCAGCUCCUCGACCAAUAAUUACCGUCGUAAUAAAAAAAAUCGAGAUAGAAUGGGCUAGAGCCUAGAGGGGGCAAACCGGCAAAGAUCCACUAUCGCUGAAACGAUCCUCUCCCUUCCAUAAACACAGCGACCAGACCACGGCUGCAGUUUCGACAUGACUUGAUGGAAUUGAUCAGUGUUAUCUUGACUCUCAGCUUGGGAACACUCCGGUUAAUUAGUCUCCGAGAGAAUCUUGAACCGUAUGCUUAAAAGAUACCGCUGUUACAGCGCGCUGUUGAACUAUAUAUCAGUAUAUGCAUCAUUUUACAAAGGAGGGCCUUGUGCCAAGUUCGACCGCAGGUACCAGAAGUUUUACCUGAGCUCCCCGCAUCUUCUUCAGCCAACCUCCCAUCGGCCUUUUAUUUUUCUUUUCUAAAGGUUAGCACUGGAAAGCGUAGCUUCAACCCAAGCCUCAUCUAGC
rnacentral:lncRNA from 7 species